UGCAAACUGGCAAGUUCGACCUUAACUAUUUGCAAUAAAACAUCACACCUAUGAGAGAGAGAGAAAACAGUCAUUUUAACCAAUAACUAUACACAUCUUUGGGGGAAAAGUUCUUGGACAGACACAAGUCAAACACAAUCCCGAGACGCUUGUGGCAAAAUAGAGGGAAAAAAAAUACAUCUGAAUGAAUGUUCCUCAUGCCUCAAUAGGACUGGCUACCAUGCUGUUAGGUGUAUCUGGGAGCUGGGAGGACAUCGACGCCACUUCACUGCCAGUGGAAUUAGAGCCCGGUCCUCCUUCUGAAAAAUUCACCUGCACAGAAGGUUGAGAAAUAAAUAAAGGAGGCUGCGAUUGUAUUCCUAAAAGGAUAUAAGCUUGUCCUAUAUGUCUAUGCAUGAAAACGUGGUUGUGUGUAUAGAGACGUAGAUAAAGAUAUCCACACAGAUAACUGAAUUUCAACAGUCAUAAAGAAAGCCCUCAAAGAAAAGAACUUGAGGAGAAAUCCUCUGGCUUUCCCAUCUUUCAAGAGAUCUCUGUUUUAACUGAAACUGAAUUCCCAACAUUAUGUUGCAUUAAAUUAUUUAAGAACAAAUGUGUUUCCCACUGUAAAAUGGCAUCGCAACUCUACCAUGCAUGCUCGAAAUAAAAUUAUCCUGCUGGCUA